CCUUUACCAUGACUUCAGUUACUCUGUAAUCCCCGCAGAAAAGACCAUGGGAUCCAUCAUUACAGAUUCAAAAUGGCUGUGAAAGUUAUCUGCCCUGGACCUGACCUGAUUUACUUUCCGAUGCCAAGGCAUCCUCUCAGCUCCUCAGCCUCAUCUCCACAGCCCACAGCUGAUGUCUCCUCUCACACAACAACAAAACAUGCUACUACAGCAGGCUGAGUCACAGUUUGGCACAUAACAAGACAAUGUCAUCUCCUAGCAACGGAACAAAGACCAUAGAGGAAGCCUGGAAGAAAGGACGAUGAUGGCAGUCAGCCCAUGCCAGUCAGAAAGAAUGGCAA